rnacentral:tRNA from 1 species
AAAGAGACAAGACAGUAGUAAGGACUGCUAAUCCUUUACCCCCGUGGUUUAAUUCCC